rnacentral:tRNA from 1 species
GAUAGAUUAGCUCAGUGGCAGAGCACCCGGCUCUUCACCCGGGUUGACGUAUGUUCGAGCCCUGCAUCUAUCC